rnacentral:rRNA from 1 species
UACGAGGGGAGCUAGCGUUGUUCGGAAUUACUGGGCGUAAAGGGCGUGUAGGCGGUAUUAUAAGUCAGAUGUGAAAGCCCUGGGCUUAACCUAGGAACUGCAUUUGAUACUGUAAAACUAGAGAUCGAGAGAGGAAAGUGGAAUUACGAGUGUAGAGGUGAAAUUCGUAGAUAUUCGUAAGAACACCAGUGGCGAAGGCGACUUUCUGGCUCGAUACUGACGCUAAGGCGCGAAAGCGUGGGGAGCAAACAGG